UGACCACAUCAUGUUAAAACACCAGUUUCUGUACGAUAACCGAAGUUCAGCAACGUCGGUCCUGGUCUGUACCUAGAUGGGUGACCACUUGGGAAUACUAGGUGCUGUAAG